GUGACACACAAACACGCUACAUUGGUGCCAAAUGGUGUUCUUCAGUUCAGUAGUCGAAGUGUUUGGAAGAAGACAUUUUUCUGUGCAAGUUCUAUUAUUGUGGCAGUUCUCUACUUUGUAGUUAAAUGUGGAUUUAGUCGAGUUCUUCAUCUGCUAUCAAAGGCUCGUAACCGUCUUGAUAUUGUGAAGAGAGGUGAUCUUCGAUUAUCUCUAACAACGCUGCAACCAGAUAUAC